UACGAAGGGGGCUAGCGUUGCUCGGAAUCACUGGGCGUAAAGGGUGCGUAGGCGGCGCGGUAAGUCGGGUGUGAAAUCUUGGAGCUUAACUCCGAAACUGCAUUCGAUACUGCCGUGCUUGAGGACUGGAGAGGAGACUGGAAUUUACGGUGUAGCGGUGAAAUGCGUAGAUAUCGUAAGGAAGACCAGUGGCGAAGGCGGGUCUCUGGACAGUUCCUGACGCUGAGGCACGAAGGCCAGGGGGAGCAAACGGG
rnacentral:rRNA from 1 species